CAAAGAGGACCACACCAAGACGCAUCAUAUUUAAAAUGCUAAAGGUUAAAGAUAAAGAGAGAAUCUUAAAAACAGCAAGAGAAAAGCAGAGAGUUACCUACAAAGGAGUGCCCUAAGACUGUUAGCUGACUUCUUAAAGGAAACUUUGCAGU